UGCGUUUCUGCCGAAACUUGGAUUAAAUAGAAAACUGAAACCAGUGCUGGAAACCUACCCUUUAGUACAGUGUAAACUGCUGUGCUCAACCUGGACUUUGUCAAGCCUUCAAGUCCCGAAAGAACUCUUGGUGUGGAGUUUGAGAAUCUCUGUAGGUCGAUGUAAACUAAAAUGGUCCUA